rnacentral:rRNA from 1 species
CUCCUUUCUCUAAUCAGUGAAACUAAUCUCCCCGUGAAGAAGCGAGGAUAACACUAUAAGACGAGAAGACCCCAUGGAGCUUUAAACCCAAUUAUAUCCCUAACCCCUAUACCCAUUUAACCUCUUAGGCCUAUAUACUUGGUUUUAGGUUGGGGCGACCACGGAGUAAAACCAAACCUCCAUGAUGUACGGAACAACCUCCUUAUCUAAGAGCCACAGCUCUAAGAAUUAGCACACUAUCAUAAAAUGACCCAUUAUUGAUCAACGAACCAAGUUACCCUGGGGAUAACAGCGCAAUCCAUUUUAAGAGCCCCUAUCGACAAAUGGGUUUACGACCUCGAUGUUGGAUCAGGAUAUCCCAGUGGUGCAGCAACUACUAAAGGUUCGUUUGUUCAACGAUCAAAAUCCU